UACAUUCUCUCUCUCUCUCAUCUCAUUCACUCGGUCCUCUCUCUCUCCCACUCUUAUUCCAUUUUCUCUAGGGAAGAUGAUUUCCACAACCAUUCUCGCUGAUGCCGUCGCCGUUACAUCUUGAUAGAUUUUUCGGAAGGUUGAUCUCCAACCACAUCCUUGUUGUCGCUGUCGAUUUUUCUGUGCUCAGGAAUCCCUAUUUUGUUCCUCCUGUUUUCUCCCUCUUCCAUCUUCAACUAAGAUUUACAGAUCCAGUUUGAUCAUUGCAAUAAUGGAUGAAGGUCAAUCUGCAGAUGGGAAUGAAGAUAUUCAUCAAAUAAAAUUGU